GCUGAGAGACUUUUUAUCUUCCUCAAAGGAAACUGUGUUCAUAACAAACAUAAAGCUGUUUUAAUUAUAUUUUAAUAUUUCAUGUAAACGAUUCAGUUUCAGUGUCAGGGAUCCAGAACCUGAAAGUGUCAUGCAGUCAUGAGAAGAUCUGUGCUCUGAGGGAGUCGUCUGUAAACCUGACGUGCUCUUACUCAAAUAUCAACAUCACCACUGGAUUCUGGUUCAGCUUCAAAGACUUUAGACUCCGACUACGCCGGACGUGUGAACUACACAGAGAUGACAAACUCAAGAUCAACAGACCCGAGAGAGAGAGAUGCGGGGGAAUAUCGCUUCAUGCUCAUUACGGAUAAAGGAGAGAAAUACGUGAGCUCAGCUGGAGUUACUCUGACAGUUACAGAUCUGCAGGUGAUCCGUCACUACAAAAGUCAAGCUCUAAUCUGCCACACUUCCUGUCAUCUAACCUUUGCUGCUAAUGUGUACUACUGGUACAAGGAUCAAUACAUACAGGAUAACAAAGACACCCAGGGAACUUUCCCUUUAAGCAAUGAUGAAGAAGUCAGUUACUCCUGCUCUGUUCACGGCUAUAACGAGAUUCGAGCUCCUUCUCUGUGUGUUGGAAGGAGCUGUAUGAGGGUGACCUACCCAGACAAGAGAGUUUGGAACCUUUGGAAGGGUCUUCAGUGGAAAUUGUGGAAAAAGUGCUUUCCAGUGGACAGAGUGUUAAAGAAGUAUUCUGGCAUUCUUCUAAGGACUUCAAGGACCUGAAGCAUGAGUUUACUAAUCGAGUUGAAUAUGUGAAGCAAGACAGAAACUGCACUCUGAAAAUGAACCAGCUGAGAAAGAAAGACUCUGGAGAAUAUCGGCUUAGAGUAGUUUAUACAUCUAACCGAAUCUCGGGUAGACCUGGAGUGGUUCUUAAUGUUACAGAUCUGCAGGUAAGACUGAGUCACUAUGCAGGGUCAUCAGAAGAACGGACGACAGUAACGCUGAGCUGCAUCACCUCCUGCACUCUGUCCAACAGCCCCACUUACCUGUGGUACAAGAACAGACAGCCUGUUACUGAUAAACUCACCAAACACAACAAACUCUACCUCUUCUUCAGCGAAGAUGCAGGGAACUACUCCUGUGCUGUGAAAGGACGUGAGGAUCUUCGCUCUCCUGAACAAACUGUUAGACGUGAGAAUCAGUCAUUAUCUAGAAGGUUGUGGUAGCUCAGGUUCUGGUGGUACUUAACUUUAUCUUAAAAAGCUUUUUGCUUGGUUUGGAUUUUGUUUUUGUUUAUAAGUCACUUUGGAUUUAGGUUUCAGUCAAAUAAAUAAAGAGGAAAAUCCAGAAUUGCUUAUGAGGCAUUGCACAAUGUGUGUGUGUGUGUGUGUGUGUGUUUUUUUUAAAGUAUAUACAGCACAGUGCUGUUGUUGAAAUGUGGUUCUACUCCUGCUUCCUGCUUCAAAACAAAUCCCUGGUUUAUAUUACGGUUCUCACUGUAAUACCUCAUUGUUUCAUAUCUACUAGAACUAAAACAGAUUGCAAAAAAAAUGUGUAAUUGCUCAUGUGGGAAUGUUUUUUAAUAUAAGAAACAUUUAGGCAAGCAGUUUUCAGGUUCAACACUUUGUACUAUCAGGUUUUCUACUAUUUUUAGAAAAGAGAAGUUUAUGUUUAAGUUUGCUUUUUUUUUAUUGCAAUUACUUGGUAACAUGACCAGAGAACAGUAAUCACUUUAAUCACUUCUGCUUUUAAAAUAGAAUUAAAUAAAUAAUUUGUCUGUCAAUAAGUUUUCCGGUAACACUAACAGUUGUCCCUGUGCUAAAAGAGAACCAAGCUGUAGUGUGGAAGCUGUAUGCUGUAUGGGGAGCUGCUGCUGCACUUGUUCCUGCUUCUCUCUCUUCUUAUCGCCGUCCUGUGUGUUAAGAGGAAGAAAAGAGCAGAAAGAGACAUUCAGCUACUGAGAGAACUUUUCACUUCGUGUUUUAAUCUUCUUAAAGUUCCUAUAAAUCUGUUAAUAAAUAAAAACUAAAGAGGUUUUCUCUUCAAUUCUCUCAGUGUGUUCCAACGCCUGGAGAUGACACAUACACAGCGCUGAACCUCAUGACUGUGUCCCCAGAAUAUGACACACUGCAAAAUAUUAAAAGCUCUGCCAGUGACACUUACACCACCCUGAACCCUGCACCCAUGUGCUCUGAUUAUGAUACACUGAGGGUAAGUAAGUGUGUGUCUGCAUGCGUCUGCGUGUGUCUGCAUUUGAUGUUCCAUAUGCUGAAGUUUAAUUCAAUCCAAACACAAAGUCAACAGUCUUACAACAUGUUUCAUGAAUACGCAAAUAAUAGGCCAAAGGCUCAUAACAUACGCACAGAGAAUAAAACUUUACAUUGGACAGUAUUGCUUUUGUCUUAAUUGAGGGUCUGGUCUUAUUUGUCUUUGUUUCUGGAUUUGUGUUGGCUUGCUUUCUUUAAUUGUUUUUAAUAUCGGAGAUUUUAACUUGUAUAUGAAUAUACAUAAUGUGUAUAUGUAAGUGUAGUAAAGCGUGAUGUUAUAUGUUUUGAAGUCAAUUUAGGUUUACAUUAGGUUUUUUUCAUGAAUAAAAUUACAAUCAGGAACAUGAUAAGGAUAUAAAUGUUUUCUCCCAAAUUAUAGGAUUGUCAUCAGUACGACAUUUUAUCUGUAAAUGCUUCUGUGAACAAAUGAAAUCAUUUUCAGUGUGAUAAAUACACCCACGGUGUGUGUACUUAUGUGUGUGUGUCUGUGCAUCUGUGCUGCCAUUGAUAGAGUUUUUACUUCUCUAAACUCUUACACCAACAUUAUUAUUUAUGGCAUUAUUUAUAUUUUAUAUACAUUAUUUUAACAUUUAUUUACAUAAUUACAUAUGUAAUUAUGUAAUAUAUUAUUUACAUAUUUACAUAGCAUUAUUACAUAUUUUAUCU